CUCUAAUGUUAAUGUCAAGCUAUUUUAAAAAUGUUAACAUUUUUUUUCCCGUUUUCACUUCAGCCGGUCGUUUCAGCCUGAGAGCAAGAAAAGCAAAAGGUCCGGUUGAACUCACCCAGCAGCAUGGUUUAAGACUGGAUUGGCUGACCCCCUUUGACCAGCUGGCUUGGCCACAGUAAAUCCUAGAGACUGCUCAUGCUACAGGCCUUGGGAGUUGGUGUUGGAACCAGGCCAGGAAGUGCCACUCCAGAUUAGAAGUCAUCUGGUGCCUCGAACGGAGCUCUUUGAAAAGGAGGCUGCUGCAUCUUUGGAGAUAGUUCAAAUUUCCUCUUUGAUUAUUUUCCUUUCCCCUCCAAAAUGAAUCUUUAUUAAGCUUAAAUCCUGAAUAAAAUGAAAUUAGCAGACUGCAAAAUAUUGCUUUCUUUUCUGCCUCUAUUCCCCUGUGCACACAUGCAAAUUAUAAUGCUUAUUUAUGUAAAUGAGGUGUCGUCUUUAAUUAGUUUUGCUUGAGGGCAUUAAAAUACAUGUAUUCUUCCCCAAAAAAUGAUUUGUUUUGUUGCUCUGUUCAGUUUAAGUUCAAAAUGAAUGAUUAUGCCGACUAAAAAGGUUUAUUAAUUCUCUUUUUUUUUCCACCCUCUUUUGGAGAA
rnacentral:lncRNA from 1 species